rnacentral:rRNA from 1 species
GAUGAACGCUGGCGGCGUGCCUAAUACAUGCAAGUCGAGCGAACAGACGAGGAGCUUGCUCCUCUGACGUUAGCGGCGGACGGGUGAGUAACACGUGGAUAACCUACCUAUAAGACUGGGAUAACUUCGGGAAACCGGAGCUAAUACCGGAUAAUAUAUUGAACCGCAUGGUUCAAUAGUGAAAGACGGUUUUGCUGUCACUUAUAGAUGGAUCCGCGCCGCAUUAGCUAGUUGGUAAGGUAACGGCUUACCAAGGCAACGAUGCGUAGCCGACCUGAGAGGGGGAUCGGCCACACUGGAACUGAGACACGGUCCAGACUCCUACGGGAGGCAGCAGUAGGGAAUCUUCCGCAAUGGGCGAAAGCCUGACGGAGCAACGCCGCGUGAGUGAUGAAGGUCUUCGGAUCUUAAAACUCUGUUAUUAGGGAAGAACAAAUGUGUAAGUAACUAUGCACGUCUUGACGGUACCUAAUCAGAAAGCCACGGCUAACUACGUG